rnacentral:rRNA from 1 species
ACUGCUCAGUAACACGUGGACAACCUGCCCUUAGGUUGGGUAUAAACCCGGGAAACUGGGUAUAAUACCCGAUAGGUCUCGAUUGCUGGAAUGCAUCGAGAUUUAAAGCUCCGGCGCCUAAGGAUGGGUCUGCGGCCUAUCAGGUAGUAGUGGGUGUAGCGUACCUACUAGCCUACGACGGGUACGGGUUGUGAGAGCAAGAGCCCGGAGAUGGAUUCUGAGACACGAAUCCAGGCCCUACGGGGUGCAGCAGGCGCGAAAACUUUACAAUGCUGGCAACAGCGAUAAGGGAACCUCGAGUGCCAGGUUACAAAUCUGGCUGUCGAGAUGCCUAAAAAGCAUUUCAUAGCAAGGGCCGGGCAAGACCGGUGCCAGCCGCCGCGGUAACACCGGCGGCUCGAGUGGUAACCGUUAUUAUUGGGUCUAAAGGGUCUGUAGCCGGCCGGAUAAGUCUCUUGAGAAAUCUGGCAGCUUAACUGUCAGGCUUUCAGGAGAUACUGUCUGGCUCGAGGCCGGGAGAGGUGAGAGGUACUUCAGGGGUAGGGGUGAAAUCUUGUAAUCCUUGAAGGACCACCAGUGGCGAAGGCGUCUCACCAGAACGGACCUGACGGCAAGGGACGAAAGCUAGGGGCACGAACCGGAUUAGAUACCCGGGUAGUCCUAGCCGCAAACGAUACUCGCUAGGUGUCGGCCACGGUGCGACCGUUGUCGGUGCCGUAGGGAAGCCGUGAAGCGAGCCACCUGGGAAGUACGGCCGCAAGGCUGAAACUUAAAGGAAUUGGCGGGGGAGCAC